rnacentral:rRNA from 1 species
CAUGGGAGAUGCUUGCAAUCCCUGAUGGCGACCGGCGCACGGGUGAGUAACGCGUAUCCAACCUGCCCUUGUCCGCGGCACAGCCCGUCGAAAGGCGGAUUAAUGCCGCAUGCGGUCCGAAGACGGCAUCAGAUUCGGACGAAAGGUUUAGGCCGGAGAAGGAUGGGGAUGCGUUCCAUUAGGUUGUUGGUGAGGUAACGGCUCACCAAGCCUUCGAUGGAUAGGGGUUCUGAGAGGAAGGUCCCCACAUUGGAACUGAGACACGGUCCAAACUCC